rnacentral:rRNA from 1 species
UACGUAGGGUGCGAGCGUUGUCCGGAAUUAUUGGGCGUAAAGAGCUUGUAGGCGGUUUGUCGCGUCUGCCGUGAAAAUUCGAGGCUCAACCUCGGGCCUGCAGUGGGUACGGGCAGACUAGAGUGCGGUAGGGGAGAUUGGAAUUCCUGGUGUAGCGGUGGAAUGCGCAGAUAUCAGGAGGAACACCAAUGGCGAAGGCAGAUCUCUGGGCCGUAACUGACGCUGAGGAGCGAAAGCAUGGGGAGCGAACAGG